UAUUGACCUUGCAAUUACUUGAAUGCCCAUCUAAUAUCUCUGAGAACUAUAUUUUAUCUUCCUAGUUUUUGAUGAGUCCUCCUCUCUCCCCUCAUCACUAAAGGCAAGUUAAACCGCAAUCCGUGUUCCCCUUUCCCAGAGGAUGAGCAACUUUAACAAAAAAGAAUAAAUGGCACCUGUCCAAACAAACUCAACUUGUAAAAAUCAGAAAAUCAGGAAGCUGUUUCUAAUCGUUGAAAUUGGCUCUUAGAAUUCUAAAUGCGGAGGCUACCUGUUAUCAUCAAACGAGAAGCAGUCAUUUGCAACAGUCGCUGUUUUGCAAAUCUGAUUUACCAGUUCACCAG